rnacentral:rRNA from 1 species
UACAGAGGGGGCUAGCGUUGUUCGGAAUUACUGGGCGUAAAGGGCGCGUAGGCGGCCCUCUAAGUCGAACGUGAAAUCCCCGGGCUCAACCCGGGAACUGCGUCCGAUACUGGAGGGCUCGAAUCCGGGAGAGGGAUGUGGAAUUCCAGGUGUAGCGGUGAAAUGCGUAGAUAUCAGGAGGAACACCAAUGGCGAAGGCAGCUCGCUGGGACGGUACUGACGCUGAGGCGCGAAAGCGUGGGGAGCGAACAGG